CGGCAACGGAUAUCUAGGCUCUCGCAUCGAUGAAGAACGUAGCGAAAUGCGAUACUUGGUGUGAAUUGCAGGAUCCCGUGAACCAUCGAGUCUUUGAACGCAAGUUGCGCCCGAGGCCUUUAGGCCGAGGGCACGUCUGCCUGGGCGUCACGC
rnacentral:rRNA from 1 species